UGUUCUGUGGCUUAGUUGGUUAAAGCGCCAGACUAGCGAAUACGGAGUCGUGGGUUCGAAUCCCACCAGAACGC
rfam:Aedes albopictus isolate Foshan contig63240, whole genome shotgun sequence.